rnacentral:rRNA from 1 species
UACGGAGGGUGCAAGCGUUAUCCGGAUUCACUGGGUUUAAAGGGUGCGUAGGUGGGCAGGUAAGUCAGUGGUGAAAUCUCUGGGCUUAACCCGGAACUGCCGUUGAUACUAUCUGUCUUGAAUACCGUGGAGGUUAGCGGAAUAUGUCAUGUAGCGGUGAAAUGCUUAGAUAUGACAUAGAACACCAAUUGCGAAGGCAGCUGGCUACACGAAUAUUGACACUGAUGCACGAAAGCGUGGGGAUCAAACAGG